GUGGGGAAUAUUGGACAAUGGGCGCAAGCCUGAUCCAGCCAUGCCGCGUGAGUGAAGAAGGCCCUCGGGUUGUAAAGCUCUUUUGUUGGGAAAGAAAAGCAGCCGGUUAAUACCCGGUUGUCAUGACGGUACCCAAAGAAUAAGCACCGGCUAACUUCGUGCCAGCAGCCGCGGUAAUACGAAGGGUGCAAGCGUUACUCGGAAUUACUGGGCGUAAAGCGUGCGUAGGUGGUUUGUUAAGUCAGAUGUGAAAGCCCUGGGCUCAACCUGGGAACUGCAUUUGAUACUGGCAGGCUAGAGUGCGGUAGAGGGUAGCGGAAUUCCCGGUGUAGCAGUGAAAUGCGUAGAGAUCGGGAGGAACACCCGUGGCGAAGGCGGCUACCUGGACCAGCACUGACACUGAGGCACGAAAGCGUGGGGAGCAAACAGG
rnacentral:rRNA from 1 species